UACGAAGGGGGCUAGCGUUGCUCGGAAUCACUGGGCGUAAAGGGUGCGUAGGCGGGUCUUUAAGUCAGGGGUGAAAUCCUGGAGCUCAACUCCAGAACUGCCUUUGAUACUGAGGAUCUUGAGUUCGGGAGAGGUGAGUGGAACUGCGAGUGUAGAGGUGAAAUGCGUAGAGAUCGGCAGGAACACCCAGGGGGAAACCAGCCGACUGGGCAAGUGCUGACGCUGAGGUGCGAGAGCGUGGGGAGCGAACCGG
rnacentral:rRNA from 1 species